rnacentral:rRNA from 1 species
GACAGAGGCCUCAAGCGUUAGGCGGAAUCACUGGGCUUAAAGCGUGUGUAGGCGGAUCGUUAAGUGUCUUGUGAAAUCCCACGGCUCACCCGUGGAACGGCUGGGCAUACUGGCGAUCUUGGGCCAACUAGGGGCAACUGGAACAAGCGGUGGAGCGGUGAAAUGCGUAGAUAUCGGUUGGAACGCCAAAGGUGAAAACAGGUUGCUGGGGUUGUGCCGACGCUGAGACACGAAAGCCAGGGGAGCAAACGGG